CCGUCGGCUACGAAGAACGACGCUGGGCGGCAUGCCUAACACAUGCAAGUCGAACGGGAUCCUAGCUUGCUAGGUGAGAGUGGCGGACGGGUGAGUAACACGGUGGGAAUCUGCCUUUUGGUUCGGGAUAACCGCGGGAAACUGCGGCUAAUACCGAAUGCCCUCGAGAGAGGAAAGAUUUAUCGCCAGAAGAGGAGCCCGCGUCCGAUUAGGUAGUUGGUGGGGUAAAGGCCUACCAAGCCGACGAUCGGUAGCUGGUCUGAGAGGAUGAUCAGCCACACUGGGACUGAGAUACGGCCCAGACUCCUACGGGAGGCAGCAGUGGGGAAUAUUGGACAAUGGGGGCAACCCUGAUCCAGCAAUGCCGCGUGAGUGAUGAAGGCCUUAGGGUUGUAAAGCUCUUUUGCCAGGGAAGAUGAUGACUGUACCUGGAGAAUAAGCCCCGGCUAACUUCGUG
rnacentral:rRNA from 1 species